GUGCCAGCAGCCGCGGUAAGACGAACCGUACGAACGUUAUUCGGAAUCACUGGGCUUAAAGGGUGCGUAGGCUGUGCGGAAAGUUGGGUGUGAAAUCCCUCGGCUUAACCGAGGAACUGCGCCCAAAACUACCGUGCUCGAGGGAGACAGAGGUGAGCGGAACUUAGGGUGGAGCGGUGAAAUGCGUUGAUAUCCUAAGGAACACCGGUGGCGAAAGCGGCUCACUGGGUCUCUUCUGACGCUGAGGCACGAAAGCUAGGGGAGCGAACGGGAUUAGAAACCCUCGUAGUCC
rnacentral:rRNA from 1 species